UACAGAGGGGGCAAGCGUUGUUCGGAAUUACUGGGCGUAAAGGGCGCGUAGGCGGCCUUCUAAGUCGAACGUGAAAUCCCCGGGCUCAACCCGGGAACUGCGUCCGAUACUGGAAGGCUUGAAUCCGGGAGAGGGAUGUGGAAUUCCAGGUGUAGCGGUGAAAUGCGUAGAUAUCUGGAGGAACACCGGUGGCGAAGGCGACACCCUGGACCGAUAUUGACGCUGAGGCGCGAAAGCCAGGGGAGCAAACGGG
rnacentral:rRNA from 1 species